UCGGCCGACCAGACGAUCGCCGGAUCCGGGAUUUCCGGGUCAGGAGGAAAGUCCGGGCUCCAUAGGGCGCGACGCUGGGUAACGCCCAGCGGAGGCGACUCCGGGCAAGCGCAACAGAAAGCGGACCGCCGAAAGCCUUGAGGUUUUCGGUAAGGGUGAAACGGCGAGGUAAGAGCUCACCGGCCGGUUGGGUGACCAGCCGGGCCAGGCAAGCCCCGUCGGGAGCAAGGCCAAAUAGAAAGACGCGUGGGGCGGCCCGCCCCGGUCUUCGGGUAGGUCGCUAGAUCGUCGGGGUAACUCGGCGGCUAGAUGAAUGAUCGUCAGGCCAAAGGGCGCCAGGGCGCCUUUGGCCGCACAGAACCCGGCUUAUCGGUUGGCCAACUUG
rnacentral:RNase_P_RNA from 1 species